rnacentral:lncRNA from 10 species
AACAGAAGAAAACUAGGAAGAAAACCAAGCUGGGAAGGGCAAUGAAGGAACAGGUUAGAGUUCAAAAGUAAAAGUACGUUCCACACAAAGGAAAGAUUUCAGGGAGAAGGCUUUGCUCUGUUGCCCAGGCUGGAAUGCAGUGGUGUGAUCAUGGCUCACGCAGCCUUGAAAUUCUGGGCUCAAAUGAUCUUCUUGCCUCAGCCUCUUGAGUAGCUGGAAUUACAGGUUGCUGGGGCAGCUCUGAUCCACAUACGACUUAGGGACCCAGGAUGCAGCUGCUUCAACAUCUUGUAGCCGUACUAUCUGGAAUACAUGGGCUGCCAGUUGUCAUGACUACUCUCCUAUGUUCAGCCCAAAAGCUAAGCACUUUAUUUCUUCAUAUAGCCCAUUGGCCAGAAUUAUUCAUAUGUCUCACUACAGGAUGGGCCGGGAGUGUACCUUCAUUAUGUAGGAAAAAAUAAAACAUAAUCGUGAGAAUUAUCCAAAUGUGACAUAGAGGCUCGAAAUGAGCACAUGGUGUUGGAAAAAUGGCACCCA